AUGCAGAUCUUCGUUAAGACCUUGACCGGGAAGACGAUCACGCUCGAGGUGGAGAGCAGCGACACCAUCGACAAUGUCAAGGCCAAAAUCCAGGACAAGGAAGGCAUCCCUCCGGAUCAGCAGCGCUUGAUCUUCGCGGGGAAGCAGCUGGAGGACGGGCGCACCCUGGCCGACUACAACAUCCAGAAGGAGUCGACGCUGCACCUGGUGCUCCGCCUGCGGGGCGGCAGCCGCGGCCAGUACAUCAUCAUGGACCCCAGCCUCCUGCAGCUCGCCCUCAAGUACAAGGAGAAGAAGAUGAUCUGCCGCAAGUGCUACGCGCGCUUGCCCCGCGGCACCACCAACUGCCGCAAGAAGAAGUGCGGACACAGCAACGAGAUCAGGGCCAAGAAAAGGUUCCUCGACAAGCAUAUCAUGUGA
rnacentral:rRNA from 1 species